rnacentral:rRNA from 1 species
GACGAACGCUGGCGGCGUGCUUAACACAUGCAAGUCGAACGGAAAGGCCCUGCUUUUGUGGGGUGCUCGAGUGGCGAACGGGUGAGUAACACGUGAGUAACCUGCCCUUGACUUUGGGAUAACUUCAGGAAACUGGGGCUAAUACCGGAUAGGAGCUCCUGCUGCAUGGUGGGGGUUGGAAAGUUUCGGCGGUUGGGGAUGGACUCGCGGCUUAUCAGCUUGUUGGUGGGGUAGUGGCUUACCAAGGCUUUGACGGGUAGCCGGCCUGAGAGGGUGACCGGCCACAUUGGGACUGAGAUACGGCCCAGACUCCUACGGGAGGCAGCAGUGGGGAAUAUUGCACAAUGGGCGGAAGCCUGAUGCAGCAACGCCGCGUGCGGGAUGACGGCCUUCGGGUUGUAAACCGCUUUCGCCUGUGACGAAGCGUGAGUGACGGUAAUGGGUAAAGAAGCACCGGCUAACUACGUGCCAGCAGCCGCGGUGAUACGUAGGGUGCGAGCGUUGUCCGGAUUUAUUGGGCGUAAAGGGCUCGUAGGUGGUUGAUCGCGUCGGAAGUGUAGUCUUGGGGCUUAACCCUGAGCGUGCUUUCGAUACGGGUUGACUUGAGGAAAGGUAGGGGAGAAUGGAAUUCCUGGUGGAGCGGUGGAAUGCGCAGAUAUCAGGAGGAACACCAGUGGCGAAGGCGGUUCUCUGGGCCUUUCCUGACGCUGAGGAGCGAAAGCGUGGGGAGCGAACAGGCUUAGAUACCCUGGUAGUCCACGCUGUAAACGGUGGGUACUAGGUGUGGGGUCCAUUCCACGGGUUCCGUGCCGUAGCUAACGCUUUAAGUACCCCGCCUGGGGAGUACGGCCGCAAGGCUAAAACUCAAAGGAAUUGACGGGGCCCCGCACAAGCGGCGGAGCAUGCGGAUUAAUUCGAUGCAACGCGUAGAACCUUACCUGGGUUUGACAUGGAUCGGGAGUGCUCAGAGAUGGGUGUGCCUCUUUUGGGGUCGGUUCACAGGUGGUGCAUGGCUGUCGUCAGCUCGUGUCGUGAGAUGUUGGGUUAAGUCCCGCAACGAGCGCAACCCUUGUUCACUGUUGCCAGCACGUUAUGGUGGGGACUCAGUGGAGACCGCCGGGGUCAACUCGGAGGAAGGUGGGGAUGACGUCAAGUCAUCAUGCCCCUUAUGUCCAGGGCUUCACGCAUGCUACAAUGGCUGGUACAGAGAGUGGCGAGCCUGUGAGGGUGAGCGAAUCUCGGAAAGCCGGUCUCAGUUCGGAUUGGGGUCUGCAACUCGACCUCAUGAAGUCGGAGUCGCUAGUAAUCGCAGAUCAGCAACGCUGCGGUGAAUACGUUCCCGGG